UACGUAGGGGGCGAGCGUUGUCCGGAAUCAUUGGGCGUAAAGAGCUCGUAGGCGGUUCAGUAAGUCAGGUGUGAAAGCUCCGAGCUCAACUCGGAGAGGCCACCUGAUACUGCUGUGACUAGAAUCCAGUAGGGGAGUGUGGAACUCCUGGUGUAGCGGUGAAAUGCGCAGAUAUCAGGAAGAACACCAAUGGCGAAGGCAGCUCACUGGGACGGUACUGACGCUGAGACGCGAAAGCGUGGGGAGCAAACAGG
rnacentral:rRNA from 1 species